UUUAUGUUGCCUCUGUUCUUGAUCCAAGGAAGAAACUUGUAUUUGUGGAGUUUUGUUUGAGAAAAAUGUAUUCGAAUGAGCAGGCUUCAUCGAUUUUUGUGAGUUUGAAGAAAACAAUGGAAGAGUUGCUUAUUGAAUACCAAAAAAAUGUACAACCUCCUUUUGAGAAAGUUGGUGACAAUAGCCAAUCCCAAGUGAGCCAAAUUUUUGAAUUUGAUGAUGAUGUUGACUCUAGUGCU
rnacentral:lncRNA from 1 species